rnacentral:rRNA from 1 species
UUGAGAGUUUGAUCUGGUCAGGAUGAUACUUUGGGGUGCUAAUCAAUGCAAGUCGAGCGAAUGAAUUACGAGUUGCUCUUAUGAAGUUAGGCGGCGGACGGGUGAAGUAACACGUGGGUAACCUGCAAUAAGAACUGGGCUAACUCCGGGAAACCGGGCUAAUACGGAUACACAUUUUGACUGCCGGUCGAAUUGAAAGGCGGUUCGCUGGUCGGCUUAUGGAUGGGACCGUUUCGUAUUAGCUAGUUGGUGAGGUAAAGGCUCACCAGGCAGAUGCGUAGCCGACCUAGAGGGUGAUGGCCACCUGGGAUGAGACACAGGCCAGACUCCUACGGGAGGAGCAGUAGGGAUCUUCCGAUGGAGAAAGUUGACGGAGCAACGCGCGUGAGGUGAUGAAGCUUUGGGUCGUAAACUCUGUUGUUCAGGGAAGAAAUAUGUGCUAGGUUGAAUAAGCUGGCACCUUGAGAGGUACCUAAACAGAAAGCAACGGCUAACUAGUGCCAGAGCCGCGUAUUACGUAUAGGUGGCAAGCGUUAUUCCGGAAAUUAUUGGGCGUAAAGCAGCGCAAGUGGUUUUCCUUAAGUCUGAUGUGAAAGCCCACGGGCUCAACCGUGGAGGGUCAUUGGAAACUGGGCAGCUGAGGCGAAGAGGAAAGUGGAAUUCAUGUGUAGGGUGAAAUGCGUAGAGAUAUGGAGGAACCAGUGGCGAAAGGCGAUCUUCUGGUCUGUAACUGACACUGGGCGCGAAGCGUGGGGGAGGAACAGGAUUAGAUACCUGGUAGUCACGCCGUAAACGAUGAGUGCUAAGUGUUAGAGGGUUUCCGCCCUUUGUGAUGAAGUUACGCAUUUAAGCAUCCGCUGGGGAGUACGGCCGGCAAGGCUAAGCCAAAGGAAUUGGACGGGGGCGCGCACAAGCGGUGGGAGCAUGUGGUUUAAUUCGAGCAACGCGAGAACUUACAGGGUCUUGACACCUUCUAAUACCCAGAGAUAGGGCUUCUCCUUCGGGAGUUCAUUCUUUCUAAGUUAAUUCAUAGGACAAGUGACGUGGUGCUGGUUGUCGUCAGCUCGUGUCGUGAGAUUUUGGGUUCAGUCCGCAACGAGCGCAAGCCUUGAUUUAGUGCCAUCAUUAAGUUGGGCCUCUAGGUGAAUGCGGUGACAAACCGGAGGAGGUGGGGAUGACGUCACAUCAUCAUGCCCUUAUGACUGGGCUAACUACAACGUGUACAUGGACGGUACAAGAGCGCAAGACGGAGGUGGAGCUAAUUCAUAAACGUUCUAGUUGGAUUGUAGCUGAACUGCUAAUGAAGAUGGAAUAGCUAGUAAUCGGGAUUCAGUCAUGCCGCGUCUGAAUUAAGUUCCCGGGGCUUGUACACGCCGUCACACCACGAGAGUUUGUAACACCCGAAAGUGGUGGGUACUUUUUGAGCCAGCCGCCUAAGGUGGGACAGAUGAUUGGGGUGAAGUCGUAAAGGUAGCCGUUGAUAGGUGCGGCUGGAUCACUCCCUUU